rnacentral:misc_RNA from 1 species
ACGCCUGUUCGAGCGUCAUUUCUCCCCCUCAAGCCUGGCUUGGUGUUGAGCCCUGCCCGUGAUGGGCAGGCUCCAAAGCGGUUGGCGGCAGUACGACCCUAGAGCACGACGCAUUCGUGGAUCUUGGGGGCACACUGCCCGCCUACACGAACCCUUCUAAGGUUGACCUCGGAUCAGGCGGGGAUACCCGCUGAACUUAA